UACGUAGGGACCAAGCGUUGUUCGGAUUUACUGGGCGUAAAGGGCGCGUAGGCGGCGUGACAAGUCACUUGUGAAAUCUCUGAGCUUAACUCAGAACGGCCAAGUGAAACUGUCGUGCUAGAGUGCAGAAGGGGCAAUCGGAAUUCUUGGUGUAGCGGUGAAAUGCGUAGAUAUCAAGAGGAACACCUGAGGUGAAGACGGGUUGCUGGGCUGACACUGACGCUGAUGCGCGAAAGCGUGGGGAGCAAACAGG
rnacentral:rRNA from 1 species